rnacentral:rRNA from 1 species
UUCCGGUUGAUCCUGCCGGAGAUCACCGCUAUUCGGGUCCGAUUAAGCCAUGCGAGUUUUUGGGUUAAACCAAAGCGAACUGCUGAGUAACGCGUAGCUAACCUGCCCUCGGGUGGGGGAUAACCUCGGGAAACUGAGGAUAAUACCCCAUAAGGAACUAUGCCUGGAAGGGUUUGUUCUUGAAAGAUUCGUCGCCCAAGGAUGGGGCUGCGUAGGAUUAGGUUGAUGUUAAGGUAAUGACUUAACAUGCCGAUAAUCCUUAGGGGCUGUGAGAGCAGUAGCCUCCAGAUGGGUUCUGAGACAUGAACCCAGGGCCUACGGGUCGCAGCAGGCGCGGAACCUUCGCAAUGCGCGCAAGCGUGACGAGGGGACCUGAAGUGCCAGCACACAGUGUUGGCUUUUUAUCAGUCCAAAUAGCUGGUAGAAUAAGUGGUGGGUAAUACCGUUGCCAGCCGCCGCGGUAAUAACGGAGCCACAAGUGGUGAUCACGUUUAUUGGGUCUAAAGCAUCCGUAGCCGGUGCGUUAAGUCCUUUGUGAAAUCUUGCAGAAAACUGCAAGGCGUGCAAGGGAUGCUGGCGCGCUUGAGACCGGGAUGGGUUGGAGGUACUUCAGGGGUAGCGGUGGAAUGUUGUAAUCCCUGAGGGACCACCUGUGGCGAAGGCGUCCAACUGGAACGGUUCUGACGGUGAGGAAUGAAAGCGUGGGGAGCAAAGGGGAUUAGAUACCCCCGUAGUCCACGCUGUAAACGAUGCCCGUUGGAUAUUAGGGGUUCUUCGCGAACUCCUAGUGUCGUAGGGAAGCCGUUAAACGGGCCACCUGGGAAGUACGGUCGCAAGGCUGAAACUUAAAGGAAUUGGCGGGGGAACACACAAGGGGUGCAGUCUGCGGUUCAAUUGGAUUCAACGCCGGGAAACUCACCAGGGGUGACAGCAUGAUGAUGGUCAGUCUGAAGGGCUUACCUGAAGCGCUGAGAGGUAUUGCAUGGCCGUCGCCAGCUCGUGCUGUGAGGUGUCCUGUCAAGUCAGGUAACGAGCGAGACCCAUGCCGUAUGUUGCAACACGCCUCUCCGGAGGCAUGGCACUCAUACGGGAUUGCCCGUGCUAAAUGGGAUGAAAGCGUGGUCAACGGUAGGUCAGUAUGGUCCGAAUCCCCAUGGGCUACACGCGGGCGACAAUGGGCGGGACAAUGGGAUGCAACGCCGAAAGGCGGAGCUAAUCCCCCAAACCCGCUCCCAGUAUAGAUUGUGGGUUGUAACUCACCCACAUGACAUCGGAAUCCCUAGUAACCGAAGUUUAGCACACUUCGGCGAAUACGUCCCUGUUCCUUGCACACACCGCCCGUC